rnacentral:sRNA from 1 species
CUAAGCGCACUGAUGCGACUUCGGCGUCACGGAAGCCGAGCGCCAGAUCGGGACUGUCCGA